rnacentral:rRNA from 1 species
GACGAACGCUGGCGGCGUGCUUAACACAUGCAAGUCGAACGGAAAGGCCCCUUUGGGGGUCCUCGAUUGGCGAACGGGUGAGUAACACGUGAGUAACCUGCCCUUGACUUCGGGAUAACUUCAGGAAACUGGGGCUAAUACCGGAUAGGAAUCCUUGCUGCAUGGUGGGGGUUGGAAAGCUUCGGGGGUUUUGGAUGGACUCGCGGCUUAUCAGCUUGUUGGUGGGGUAGUGGCUUACCAAGGCUUUGACGGGUAGCCGGCCUGGGAGGGCGACCGGCCACAUUGGGACUGAGAUACGGCCCAGAAUCCUACGGGAGGCAGCAGUGGGGAAUAUUGCACAAUGGGCGGAAGCCUGAUGCAGCAACGCCGCGUGCGGGAUGACGGCCUUCGGGUUGUAAACCGCUUUCAGCAGGGGCGAAGCUUGUGGUGACGGUACCUGCAGAAGAAGCACCGGCUAACUACGUG